rnacentral:rRNA from 1 species
UACGUAGGGGGCAAGCGUUGUCCGGAUUUAUUGGGCGUAAAGAGCGUGUAGGCGGUUUGGUAGGUCCGCUGUGAAAACUCGAGGCUCAACCUCGAGACGCCGGUGGAAACCAUCAGACUAGAGUCCGGAAGAGGAGAGUGGAAUUCCUGGUGUAGCGGUGAAAUGCGCAGAUAUCAGGAAGAACACCCGUGGCUAAGGCGGCUCUCUAGUACGGUACCGACGCUGAGACGCGAAAGCGUGGGGAGCAAACAGG